GAAGCAAAUAAGUUCAAGAAAUAUCAGUACAGAAUGGUACGACUGGUUACAAGAUGGAGACAUUUUAGUUUGACAGAAAGGAUUGCUUUU